AACGUAAGCGUUACGUAUAUACGUACGUAAAGUACGUACUCUGAUCGUUAAUAAAUGAACAUGAGGGCGCUGUCGAUGUCGAAAACGAUGUCGACCAAUGGGCCCGCGAAAAUGGUGUUGCUGCGCGUAACGUGUGGCGCGCAGUGCCGCAUAAUUUAGGGUAUCGUAGUGGAUCGUCAGUGCCAUCGAGAAGGCAGUCGGUUACGGAUUUGAAAAGUGAACGAACGAACGAACGAACGAAAGAAAGAGAGAAAGAAAGAGAGAAAGAAAAAAAGAAAGAGAGAAAGAAAGAAAAAAAGAAAGAGAGAGAGAGAGAGAAAGAGAAUCAAGGCUGAGGUUGAUCGAAGUAAAGCAAAGCAAAGCAAAGUAAAGCAAAGUAAAGCAAAGCAAAGCUAAGCUAAGCUAAGCAAAGCUAAGCUAAGCUGAGCGGAGCGGAGCGAGCCGUAGCCGAGCCGAGCUGAGCCGAGUUGAACCGAGUUGAGCCGAGCUGAACGAGCGAGCGAGCAAACGAGGGAGCGAGCUAGCUAGCUCAGCUAGUUAGUUUAACAAACGAACGACGACUACGAGAGAAAAAGAAAGAGAGAAAGAAAACGAGCAAGCAAGCGAGCUAGCGAGCAAACGAACGAACGAACGGAACGAACUCGGCGGUGGUGGUGGUGGUGGUGGUGGUGGUGGUUGGUGGUGGUGUGUUGUUCUUCAGUGGUGGUGUGUUUAAUAGUGUGUCUUCGUCGUAUCGACUAGUACGUCGCGCGCGUGUGGUGUACCGCGUUCGUGAAUUCACACGAGUUUUGUUGUGUUACGACGAACGUGCCGUGCCGUGCGUGCGUACGUACGUACGUACGUGCGUAUUCUUCUUUCUAUUUCUUUUCCGUGAGUGCGUGCGUGCGUACGUACGUGCGUGCGUGCGUGCGUGCGUGCGCGCGCUUACGCUGGUGUGUGUGUGUGUGUGUGAGUGCGCGUAUCGUGCGUACAGCGUGUAUCAUAUACAUAUAUAAGAAAAAGUUAAUAUAGUGUUCUUUCCUCUACUCUCCUUCUUAAUCGUGUGUCGAUGAAAAGGAGGUUCCUUUAAAGUGAGAGAGUGAGUGAUCGAGACAGAGAGAGAGAGAGAGAGAGAGAGAGAGAGAGAGAGAGAGAGAGAGAGAGAGAAUAAGAGAAAGAGAAAGAGACAAUCUCCUAGUGUGUGUGUGUGUAGUCCGAUCUCGGAAAAGUCCAGUGGCGGCCGCUAAGAGAGAGAGAGCCAUCAUGGCGAAUCCACGGAAAUUCAGUGAAAAGAUUGCCUUGCUCAACCAGAAGGAGGCGCAGGAAACGGCAGCAUUUGAAGCGAUCAUGCGAGAAGUAUCGGACGUCACGAGCAGAGUCGCGUCGGCAAGCAGCUCGGUGGGUGCGAGUCCUACGGGAUCUGGUGUCCCGGAUGCCCCCCUCUCCGUCAAAAGUGCCGGUGCCAGUCCUCCGCAAUCCAGUGGCAAGCAUCUUCACAUUAACCUGGGCAAUCAGUUUCGAGCUGGAGGUUCAUUGCCUAACGUUAACAACAAUGCUAACUGUGCCAACGACACGAAGGAGCAUCAUCCUUCGCAACACACUGGCGCCGUUCAUUCGAUCGAUCUUAAGGUAUUGGAUGAUCAUCAUCAUCAUCAUCAUCAUCAUCAUCAUUAUUAUUAUUAUUAUUGUCAUCAUCACUUACCAACACCAACACCAAUACCAAUACCAUCACUAUUGUUGUUAUUAUUAUUAUUAUUAUUAUUAUUAUUAUUAUUAUUAUAUAAUUCACUCUCUGUCUUUCCUCUCGUUGUAUUUUAUUUUUAUGAUUGAGAGAGAGAGAGAGGGAGAGAGAGAGAGAGAGAGAGAGAGAGAGAGAGAGAUACAUACAUACAUACAUGCAUAAAUGCAUACAUCAUAAACCACUAGCACGCUUAUUGUGUUAUUUUUUCUUUCUGUAUUCUUCUGAUUCUUCUUCUUCUUCUUCUUCUUCUUCUUCUCCUUUUUCUUUUUUUAAUUUCUUUUUAGUUUUGUUUGUUUCAUUUUUGUGUCGAUUGCACGUCAAUAAAACACAGCAUGGCAAAGUUUUCUACGUUAUUACAUCAGCAUUUGUAGUUAAUUGUUAGAUAUUUAUGUUUAGUAAUAAUAAGUGUUGCAUAAUGUAAUUCGAUCGUUUAAUUAUUUAAUUAUGUCGUAUAUAGGAUCGAUAGAUCAUUUCUCGACGUGGAAAAAAUAAAGAGAGAGAGAGAGGGGGGGGAGGAGGGAGGAGGGAGAGAGAGAGAGGAUAAAUAAAUAAAGUAAUAAUUAUUUCAAUGUAAAUAUAUAUAUAUAUAUACAUGAAAUCAAACAUUAUCUAACAACGUUUCUUUUAUUAUCUUCUCUUAUUUAUGAUCAUGCGAUUUGUAAAUUUCCAUCGAUUAAAAAAUUAUUAUCAUUCCUCUUCUUGAUCUAUAGAUCAAUUAUUAUCGAACAUCAUUGAAAUUCUUGUCCUUUAAUUAAUUAUAAUCAAUUAUUUAUUGAAUGAAUAAUACUCACAGUUUCUUUUCAUUUUAUAUUUUAUGAUACUUGAAAUUGUAUUAUUUUUCUCUCUCUUUCCCUUUUUCUCUCUC